GUAGGUGGCAAGCGUUGUCCGGAAUUAUUGGGCGUAAAGCGCGCGCAGGCGGUUCUUUAAGUCUGAUGUGAAAGCCCACGGCUCAACCGUGGAGGGUCAUUGGAAACUGGAGAACUUGAGUACAGAAGAGGAAAGCGGAAUUCCACGUGUAGCGGUGAAAUGCGUAGAGAUGUGGAGGGACACCAGUGGCGAAGGCGGCUUUCUGGUCUGUAACUGACGCUGAGGCGCGAAAGCGUGGGGAGCAAACAGGAUUAGAUACCCUGGUAGUCCACGCCGUAAACGAUGAGUGCUAGUGUUAGGGGGUUUCCGCCCCCCUUAGUGCUGCAGCUAACGCAUUAAGCACUCCGCCUGGGAGUACGGCCGCAAGGCUG
rnacentral:rRNA from 1 species